GACGAACGCUGGCGGCGUGCUUAACACAUGCAAGUCGAACGGAAAGGCCCUGCUUUUGUGGGGUGCUCGAGUGGCGAACGGGUGAGUAACACGUGAGUAACCUGCCCUUGACUUUGGGAUAACUUCAGGAAACUGGGGCUAAUACCGGAUAGGAGCUCCUGCUGCAUGGUGGGGGUUGGAAAGUUUCGGCGGUUGGGGAUGGACUCGCGGCUUAUCAGCUUGUUGGUGGGGUAGUGGCUUACCAAGGCUUUGACGGGUAGCCGGCCUGCGAGGGUGACCGGCCACAUUGGGACUGAGAUACGGCCCAGACGCGUACGGGAGGCAGCAGUGGGGAAUAUUGCACAAUGGGCGGAAGCCUGAUGCAGCAACGCCGCGUGCGGGAUGACGGCCUUCGGGUUGUAAACCGCUUUCGCCUGUGACGAAGCGUGAGUGACGGUAAUGGGUAAAGAAGCACCGGCUAACUACGUG
rnacentral:rRNA from 1 species